ACGGAGGGUGCGAGCGUUGUCCGGAAUCAUUGGGCGUAAAGGGCGCGUAGGUGGCCCGGUCAGCGUGCGGUGAAAGCUCGGGGCUCAACCCCGAGUCGGCCGUGCGAACUGCUGGGCUCGAGCACUGUAGAGGCAGGCGGAAUUCCGGGUGUAGCGGUGGAAUGCGUAGAGAUCCGGAAGAACACCGGUGGCGAAGGCGGCCUGCUGGGCUUGGUCUGACGCUGAGGCGCGAAAGCGUGGGGAGCGAACAGGA
rnacentral:rRNA from 1 species